CCUACGGGAGGCUGCAGUGAGGAAUAUUGGUCAAUGGGCGCGAGCCUGAACCAGCCAAGUAGCGUGAAGGAUGACUGCCCUACGGGUUGUAAACUUCUUUUAUAAAGGAACAAAGUGAGGCACGCGUGCCUUUUUGUGUGUACUCGAUGAAAAAGCAUCGGCUAACUCCGUGCCAGCAGCCGCGGUAAUACGGAGGAUCCGAGCGUUAUCCGGAUUUAUUGGGUUUAAAGGGUGCGCAGAUGGGUAGUUAAGUCAGUUGUGAAAGUUUGCGGCUCAACCGUAAGAUUGCAAUUGAUACUGGCAGUCUUGAGUACAGUUGAGGUAGGCGGAAUGCGUGGUGUAGCGGUGAAAUGCUUAGAUAUCACGAAGAACUCCGAUUGCGAAGGCAGCUUACUAAACUGCCACUGACAUUGAUGCUCGAAAGUGUGGGUAUCAAACAGGAUUAGAUACCCUGGUAGUC
rnacentral:rRNA from 1 species